rnacentral:lncRNA from 1 species
UUCGAGCCAUCCAUUAUUGUGGGGAGACGAAGAAACUCUCUAAUGUUUCGUGUGCACUUUAUAUGAAUGCAAACUUGACCUGGGCAUCAAGUACUACCAUAGAGCACAAGCUCCGACACUUGAGCUAGAUGCUCUACCUCUCUUAGCACUUAUGCCAAACCUGGUAGCUGUUCGGAAUGAUUAAAUUUUCCUGUUCUAGCUCUGUUGGCCAGGCCAGGGCUCCCCUCUUCUUUCCGAGAUCUGCUGUGCUUCAAGCUACUUGCAGG